rnacentral:rRNA from 1 species
AAUCAACGCUGGCGGCGUGCCUAGCACAUGCAAGUCGAACGCGAGAGGGGCUUCGGCCCUGAUUGAGUGGCAAACGGGUGAGUAACGCGUGGGUGACCUACCUUCGAGUGGGGGAUAACGUUCCGAAAGGGACGCUAAUACCGCAUAACAUCCUGUCUUUGGACAGAUGGAGAUCAAAGCCGGGAUCGUAAGACCUGGCGCUUGAGGAGGGGCCCGCGUCCGAUUAGCUAGNGGUGGGGUAAUGGCUCACCAAGGCAACGAUCGGUAGCCGGCCUGAGAGGGCGGACGGCCACACUGGGACUGAGACACGGCCCAGACUCCUACGGGAGGCAGCAGUGGGGAAUUGUUCGCAAUGGGCGCAAGCCUGACGACGCAACGCCGCGUGAAGGAUGAAGGUCUUCGGAUUGUAAACCUCUGUUG